rnacentral:lncRNA from 1 species
AUGCAAAGUGGCUUUGCAAUUUGUCUUUGCUGCUGGCAGAACUGAGAAAAACAUGCGACUGCCCAACUAGGUUUGUAGCUGUCAGAGCUUGAUGAUCAGUGCUUUCUCUUUUGUCUGGAAAAACCUUUGCUACAGAAUCCAGGAAGGCUCGAUCAUGGUUUAGUUGUUUCUCAUCUGCUCUCUGAUGCUGGCAUUAGAAUUUCUCACUGCACUGACCAGAAAAAAAAAUGCCUACUUUCAUUGUUGGCUAAAUAGGAAACUUUGCAUCUGGCGCUUCUGAAUAACGAUCCGUCUUUGACUAUGCGUGCGAUUGUGUUAACUUCAAAUUGGACUGUUUCUGUGUAGCACAGCACAUUUAAAAAUACAACCUUGCACAAAGUCACAGGUAGAAGCUGCAGAAUUGAGCUUCUACCUCUUAAGCAAAGAUGACUGCUUAAAGAGUGUUUUCUGGGAUUUACCAUUUCUUAUGGCACUUAAGUUUUUCUCAAGACUACCUGCUUUGCUAACCGUACUGGAACUACCUACCUCAUGGAAGAAAUACAUGGGCUUUUAACAAGGGAACUUGCAACCUAAGACAUGAUGUGAGAGUCAAAAUCAUUCUUCAUGCGACUUUUCCACGUAACUUUCCUGAUUUAUGCUCAAGACCAACCACUUCCUUUUUCACAGUGAAAAUCUUUUGUUUCGUUCUUGCUGCUGGAUUUUUCUCGUGCUUGUGAAAUCUUUCUGCCAUUGCUAAAUUUCUGUAGUGUUGGAUCUGCAGCCUGGAGCCUUAGACCUUCCUGAUGUGUGUUGGCUGGAGAAUUGCUACUGACAGUAUUUGAGGUGGAUUAUCACUUUUUAGCUGAUUAAUGUUGUUUGGGAGCAGAAUACACUCUUCUGUUCAUGGUUUUGCUUAAAUGAGGUAAGCAUAAGUAGUACUGUUGCCACACACACACACAGUCUACAUGGAAUUACUGGAAAUUGAGAGGUAACUAAAAGUGUUUUGAAAAGUAGUUGAUGUUUUCUGUUUUGUGCUAGAUUUCUAGUCAGGAGUCUCUGAUCAAUUUGAAAUUUAAGAUUUGGAAUUUAAAAUGAGAAUCCUUAAAGCUGCCUGGAUGGAAUUUUUUUUCCUUGUAUGUUUGUAACUCGUGGAAGACUCGCAUGGAAUCUCUAGACCUUUCUCUGGGGCUUGUAUUUUAGAAUUUGAAUCAUUCAAGUCUUUUUCCUUAUUGCUUCCCUUGUAUUUGUGCACAGGGGCUAUGUUUGUUUCCUCAGCUGGCUGGGAUAAGAGCAUAUGAGUGGAUGUUCAGCUUUACGCAGGAAGCUACUGACAUAAUUUAUUUGGAUGGCAUGCAAGCUAUCCCCCCCAUAUGUAAGCCCCAUAUUCAUGCCUGAUGUUGCUCUAUUUGAACACCUAAUCGUCUCAGGAAUACAUGAAAACCCCUUCAGCUGUUAAGAGUUUACCAGUUCUUGAAAUGGUGCCUUGUUUACAGGGAAAUUACAACUGCAGUGUUUCUUGGGGGGAAAUGUUUUGACAGGUAGGUAAUACAGGCAAUGACUUUGGACUGGCACUACAUGCUAUGUGGAAAGCAAGAUAUCCAAAGCAGCAUUUAAAAAUUAUCUUUUUGCUCAGUUUUCAUGUCACAUAAACAGCAAGAACAGUUUUCUUGACCACUGUUGCUGAUCCAGCUGGAAGCCUUUUCUGUUGUAGCUUCUUUCUUCUAAAUAUGCUAUGUUGCUGUUCAAAGCACAGAAAACAGCCUUAAUGAUGGGCACCUACACUGUUUCAAUUUAUCAUUCAUUGUGGAUGCUGAGAACUCUUGUGCAAGUGAUCAGAUUUCUGGUGUUCUCUGAGUGUUUGCUUUUCCAUUUCCUUUGAACUGAAGUUGCCAAAUCCUUUUAUUUGAAGAAGAUGUGGACAAAUUAACUUAUCUGAUCGAUCUCAUUGUACUCUUCUGUUCGAAUCUCACGGAAUUUGAGCUUUUCAGGUAAUGGCAACCAGAUGGCACUAAAGCUUUGUUUUCACGUUAGCAUUUAAUUGGAGAGAAAACAUGAGUCUGAAAUUAUUUCCACCAUCAUUUUAUUUUUGUGGUUUAAUAUUGCCCACUACAAUCUUAAACUAUUAACUUCUAUUUCGUGAAAGAAAAAGCUACCACUUUUCCAUGGAAAAAAAACUCAGUGGUUAAACAUUGCACGUUAAAGCUACAUGCUGCAUACAUAUGGAACAAGAUCUUCAUCCUACCUUAACGAGAGGUAUCAACUUGAAAAUAGCUCCUUAUAUCCUGCUGAAGCUCUUGACAACUGCUGACAUCUGAGGAGCACUGGGAUUUAACUUGCUAGUAGCUGCAUUUGAUUUGUGGAGUCUAAGUCUGUUGUAGCAAUAAACAAUUUUGUUUUGAAAUCUUCCAAGAUUUCUAACUGAAUCUUUCACUUCUUUCCUCUUGGAACAAAGAACAAAAUGAUUUCUUGGAAUGAAGAAAAUAUAAGUAUGAAUAUCCAAACCACAGCGCGGAGGUGUCACUUCUGAUCCAAUUUCAAGAUAAAAUGUUACGUAACUGUAAUGAAUGAAACAUUAUGUUCUUAUUAUAUGUUUGCGACAACUUCCUUUGCAAGAGGUGGAAGGCUAAUACUCACCUGCAGUUACUCCAGACAGAAGCAGCACAUGAAUUAACUGCAUGUUCUGUUGAGGCUAGAAGGGCACUGUAUCACCUGUAAGCGUAAAAACAUUACUUUUUAAAAGCAACGCCACAGGACACUCAGCUGUGAAGAAGAGCCCUGCUUGUUCCUGUUUAUCUAAGCACAGAACUUCACAUCAAUGUGAGAUUGAGCUUGAGACUGAGUUCUGUCUCAGGGAAAUACUUGAAACACUGACGUGGACAAUUUGAACAACUUUGAUUGAAAUGCACAACGUAUGAUAUAUGUAGUGCACGUUUUGUAGUAGGCACUUCGUUGCUGAGGAAUGUCAAUACCCUUUUACAAGGGGUCUACAAUCUCCUUAUUCCUCUUCUAGGAAUAUGAAGGUUUGUAUCUCCCUUCCCUUCUCGUAGCACGCAACAACAAUCUGCUACAAAGCUGAAGGGAUGGCCCUAAAGAAACUCGGGUAUAAGCUUCCUCAGUCUUACAAGGCUGUCUGCUACUGCCUCGUUGCCACGUGUGCUUGAGAUGCUGUUUGAGAAGAUGGUUCAGAGGCCCUUUAAUCAGUUUGUAGACAAAUCUGUAGGGGCGAGUCAUGGUGAGUAUGCUGUGCUGGGGGCAGUGUGCUGGCACUGUGCAACUAUCUCCUACUUGAAAAUAAACCUGGAGCAAAACAAAGAUCUGGUUAAAAAGCUAGGCUCGCCUCAGUAAAGCCAGAAGUGACUGUUUGACUCUGGUUCAGUUUGGGGAAUUGAUGAAGCCUGUGACCCUCGAUGCUAAUUGUUUCUCCAGCCCACCUCUGUCAGUUGUGCCUGGUACUGGGGCUGUAGAAGGUCAUCUCAACACUGUGGAUUUGCACUCUUCUUUCAUGUCUAAGCUGGAUUUAUAACGUGCUGCAUUGAAGGAGUAUCCAGAAGUUAACUGGCAUGAUUUGUGUUUUGCUAAAUCUGAAAACACUGCCCAUGCCACACUGACACUUUGUGUUCUUUGAUGGUUUAUUGGGUUCUGCAGCUUAAUCCUACUCUCGAAUUCCAUCUUAAAAGCCACAGUUGCUCCGCCCGCUGCAUAUCCAAUCCAGUAGCAUCCAGGUGCAGUCUGAGUUCUGGAGAGAAGUUCUUUGGUAGUGUCUUGUGUGCUCUCCAAGAGACUGUCCUUCCUCUCAGAGUACUGCAGAAGUUCUCUUUAUUCAUACAUUUUUUCUCUGUAUCUAAUGGUGUUUGUUUUGUUUUGUUUUUGGUGAUAAAUUCUGUAAACAAGUACAUGUGCUGUGUUGCUUUCACGGAUAGCUGUGUACCAUGCCUAAUCAAACAGAACUUCUGAAAUACACGCCAUUUAUAAAUCUGUGCAGUUGAUGUUCAGUCCAGGGCUGGUGAUGCAGUGACUGCACUUGUGCAGGAGGUGUUCUUAGUCACAGACAGCUUGGUUAUGAGGGCCGUUCCCUUGGAAAAUAUUCCUUAUGCACUUAGUUCUGAAUCAGUCUCUUACUCAGAUGAAUCCUUUGGACUGAGAUUUCAGUAUAUGAAUUCCUCCAGUUUAAGAGUUUUAUUUUAUUCUAAGAUGUGUCAUUUACCUCCUGCAGCAUUUAUUUUCCUUCUGUGGACUAUUUUGGCAUUUCUUCUAUCUUAGUUUGUCUAUGUGCAUCAAGAUGAAGAAAGUCUCUUCUCAGCAGCUAAAGACACUAGUGAAAGUAGAUGUUCAGGAGAGACAAGCAAUAUGCCUCUCUCCUUAUGUCCAGUUAGGUUUGUUAUCGCUAUUUUCUAUAUAUUCUGCAUUUUUCUACAAGUCAUGAUCAAGUGUGAGAUCCAGCUCAUCUGUAUGUCAUAUAAAACUUAAAUAAAAGUGUGAUGC